rnacentral:rRNA from 1 species
GGGGGAUAUUGCACAAUGGAGGAAACUCUGAUGCAGCAACGCCGCGUGAGGGAAGACGGGUUUCGGAUUGUAAACCUCUGUCCUUGGUGAAGAUAAUGACGGUAGCCAAGGAGGAAGCUCCGGCUAACUACGUGCCAGCAGCCGCGGUAAUACGUAGGGAGCAAGCGUUGUCCGGAUUUACUGGGUGUAAAGGGUGCGUAGGCGGCUUAUCAAGUCAGGCGUGAAAUAUAUGGGCUUAACCCAUAGACUGCGUUUGAAACUGAUGAGCUUGAGUGAAGUAGAGGUAGGCGGAAUUCCCGGUGUAGCGGUGAAAUGCGUAGAGAUCGGGAGGAACACCAGUGGCGAAGGCGGCCUACUGGGCUUUAACUGACGCUGAGGCACGAAAGCAUGGGUAGCAAAC